UUCUUCUUUCUCGUGGUGCUGGAAAUCAAACUCAGGGCCUCAUGCAUGCUAGGCAAGCCCUCUAUCACUGCGCUAAUGUCGGGAGCAAUUCCACAUGAUUUUAAGGAAAAAAAAUAAUUUCAUAAUUAAAUUAGGGCCUAGUUUUCCUGCCUACAGGCCAGCUACGAUAUAACUCCAUUCUCUCCUGUGGUCACAGCUAGACCUCCACGGUCCAGGGAUGCUGCAAUUCUCCAAGGCAGGACUACACCAGCUGGAGACAUCCUGGGAGGAAUCAAAUCUUCAUCUGCGCAGUUCCUCACUCUUCUAGGAUUAUUACGCGCUGCCACUCUCUGAGUCAUCCGCUACUUUGUUUCUCCUGAUGUUGUGAAUGAAGUGCCUACGGACCUAGGUUUGUACAGCCCAGGGAUGCUCUCUAAGAAGCAGCCCAGAUGAUAACCCUUGUGGUGUUUGGGAAGCACUGUGGAUGCACAUUGCCCACUCGGGGCCGGUCUGUCACAACCCGGAAGAGGAGCCACUUGCGUUACUGAGCCUCCUGAGUGCUGGGAUUACAGGCAUGCGCCACCACGCCCGGCCCGUUCUUCGUCCUUUGGCCAGAAGAGGGAGCAAUUGUGCUUCCAAUGGCUCACCUAUGAAAACACUCCAGUAACAGGUCAGGACCUUCAAGAGCAUCUGAUUUCACUUCAUGGUGCUGCUCCUCCUCUUCUACAUUUUUGCCAUAGCUGGUGACUACUUUUUUAAGGAUUUCACCUGUUCGACUCAUCAGGACCUGGUGUACAAGGAGCCCUUUUUGGGCCUGCCAAACUGUCCUCAUCACUUCAUGAUGGACCACUGGAACACGCUGCUCCAGGACAUCUGGAAGGGGCCGGAAGUCAACUCUGUCAUCUGCAGCACCCAUGUCACCCUCUGGGUGCUGCUGGGCUCCAUCACUUUUUUUUAUGUACUGGGGAUUGAACUUGGGACCUUGUGCUUGAAAGGCAGGCGGCAGAACCACUAAGCUAAAUCCCCAGCCCUCUGUUGUUUUUUGAAGUGUCAUAAUAAGCAUUAUGGCUAUUAACUUUCAGGGCCAUGGCUAAUAACAUCCGGAAUGAGCUGGAUAAGGCCACUCAGCACAAAGCAGAUGUCCUCAAGCCCUCAGGAGGAGAUGGAACCUGUCCUUCACAGCACUGAGGCCAAGCCACAGCAAAAUCAAUGCCAGAGAAGUCAGUCAACAAAGGAUGUCGUUGGACUUCCAAGAAGCUUCUGAAAAAGUCUAAACUGAGCUCUGGCAAAACUUUGCCAAGGGACUUCUGGGACUUGGUUCCAGGUAAUUAUUUAUUUAGUGAAAGAUGAAUUCUAUUAUGCAUAAAGAUAGGGCCGUCUAAGUACUUAGUGUGCAUUAUUUUAUUUCUUUUUUUCAUUCAUUAAUUUUAAUGGCACAUUUCAUUUUAGGUAUACAA